rnacentral:rRNA from 1 species
AGUGAACGCUGGCGGUAGGCCUAACACAUGCAAGUCGAACGGCAGCACAGUAAGAGCUUGCUCUUACGGGUGGCGAGUGGCGGACGGGUGAGGAAUACAUCGGAAUCUACUUUUUCGUGGGGGAUAACGUAGGGAAACUUACGCUAAUACCGCAUACGACCUACGGGUGAAAGCAGGGGAUCUUCGGACCUUGCGCGAUUGAAUGAGCCGAUGUCGGAUUAGCUAGUUGGCGGGGUAAAGGCCCACCAAGGCGACGAUCCGUAGCUGGUCUGAGAGGAUGAUCAGCCACACUGUAACUGAGACACGGUCCAGACUCCUACGGGAGGCAGCAGUGGGGAAUAUUGGACGAUGGGCGCAAGCCUGAUCCAGCCAUACCGCGUGGGUGAAGAAGGCCUUCGGGUUGUAAAGCCCUUUUGUUGGGAAAGAAGAGCAGCAGGUUAAUACCCCGCUGUUCUGACGGUACCCAAAGAAUAAGCACCGGCUAACUUCGUG